AUUUUACUCAUGGGGAAACUGAAGGCCAGGGAUGGGAAUUGCCCAGGUUCACAAAGGAAUUUAACAAUGGAGCUGGCUUCUGAUUCCCAGGGCAGUGUUCUUUCUAUUCUACCUGCUGAUGAGUGGAGUAAGAGGUCAGAAGACCUGGGGAAAGAUAAGCAACUAAGCUAUCCUAAAAAUAGUUCAGCAAUUUAAAACCCUACCUUCUCAGAGAGUCCAGACACGAGGCCUUCAAUCCAGAGCCAAGGAGUAGCCUGUUUUUUACAGAAGCAUGUAAGAUGGAUUGCCACAAAGAUGAGAAAGGCACCAUCUAUGACUAUGAGGCCAUCGCACUUAAUAAGAACGAAUACGUUUCCUUCAAGCAGUAUGUGGGCAAGCACAUCCUCUUCGUCAACGUGGCCACCUACUGUGGUCUGACAGCGCAAUAUCCUGGUAUGUCCGUCCAGGGGGAGGAUUUGUACCUAAUUUCCAGCUUUUUGAGAAAGGGGAUGUGAAUGGUGAAAAAGAACAGAAAGUCUUCGGCUUCUUGAAGCACUCCUGUCCUCAUCCCU
rnacentral:sRNA from 1 species